UACGUAGGGUGCGAGCGUUGUCCGGAAUUAUUGGGCGUAAAGGGCUCGUAGGCGGUUUGUCGCGUCGGGAGUGAAAUCCACUGGCUUAACUGGUGGCUUGCUUUCGAUACGGGCAGACUGGAGGUAUGCAGGGGAGAACGGAAUUCCUGGUGUAGCGGUGAAAUGCGUAGAUAUCUGGAGGAACACCGGUGGCGAAGGCGGCAUCCUGGACCGGUAUUGACGCUGAGGCGCGAAAGCCAGGGGAGCAAACGGG
rnacentral:rRNA from 1 species